rnacentral:rRNA from 1 species
CGCAUAUAAUGCAGUCGAACGCUUCUUUCCUCCCGAGUGCUUGCACUCAAUUGGAAAGAGGAGUGGCGGACGGGUGAGUAACACGUGGGUAACCUACCCAUCAGAGGGGGAUAACACUUGGAAACAGGUGCUAAUACCGCAUAACAGUUUAUGCCGCAUGGCAUAAGAGUGAAAGGCGCUUUCGGGUGUCGCUGAUGGAUGGACCCGCGGUGCAUUAGCUAGUUGGUGAGGUAACGGCUCACCAAGGCCACGAUGCAUAGCCGACCUGAGAGGGUGAUCGGCCACACUGGGACUGAGACACGGCCCAGACUCCUACGGGAGGCAGCAGUAGGGAAUCUUCGGCAAUGGACGAAAGUCUGACCGAGCAACGCCGCGUGAGUGAAGAAGGUUUUCGGAUCGUAAAACUCUGUUGUUAGAGAAGAACAAGGACGUUAGUAACUGAACGUCCCCUGACGGUAUCUAACCAGAAAGCCACGGCUAACUACGUGCCAGCAGCCGCGGUAAUACGUAGGUGGCAAGCGUUGUCCGGAUUUAUUGGGCGUAAAGCGAGCGCAGGCGGUUUCUUAAGUCUGAUGUGAAAGCCCCCGGCUCAACCGGGGAGGGUCAUUGGAAACUGGGAGACUUGAGUGCAGAAGAGGAGAGUGGAAUUCCAUGUGUAGCGGUGAAAUGCGUAGAUAUAUGGAGGAACACCAGUGGCGAAGGCGGCUCUCUGGUCUGUAACUGACGCUGAGGCUCGAAAGCGUGGGGAGCAAACAGGAUUAGAUACCCUGGUAGUCCACGCCGUAAACGAUGAGUGCUAAGUGUUGGAGGGUUUCCGCCCUUCAGUGCUGCAGCAAACGCAUUAAGCACUCCGCCUGGGGAGUACGACCGCAAGGUUGAAACUCAAAGGAAUUGACGGGGGCCCGCACAAGCGGUGGAGCAUGGGGUUUAAUUUGAAGCAACGCGAAAAACCUUACCAGGUCUUGACAUCCUUUGACCACUCUAGAAAAAGAGCUUUCCCUUCGGGGACAAAGUGACAGGGGGUGCAUG